rnacentral:rRNA from 1 species
AGGAUGAACGCUGGCGGCGUGCCGAAUACAUGCAAGUCGAGCGAACGGACGAGAAGCUUGCUUCUCUGAUGUUAGCGGCGGACGGGUGAGUAACACGUGGAUAACCUACCUAUAAGACUGGGAUAACUUCGGGAAACCGGAGCUAAUACCGGAUAAUAUUUUGAACCGCAUGGUUCAAAAGUGAAAGACGGUCUUGCUGUCACUUAUAGAUGGAUCCGCGCUGCAUUAGCUAGUUGGUAAGGUAACGGCGCUUACCAAGGCAACGAUGCAUAGCCGACCUGAGAGGGUGAUCGGCCACACUGGAACUGAGACACGGUCCAGACUCCUACGGGAGGCAGCACUAGGGAAUCUUCCGCAAUGGGCGAAAGCCUGACGGAGCAACGCCGACGUGAGUGAUGAAGGUCUUCGGAUCGUAAAACUCUGUUAUUAGGGAAGAACAUAUGUGUAAGUAACUGUGCACAUCUUGACGGUACCUAAUCAGAAAGCCACGGCUAACUACGUGCCAGCAGCCGCGGUAAUACGUAGGUGGCAAGCGUUAUCCGGAAUUAUUGUGGGCGUAAAGCGC